rnacentral:rRNA from 1 species
AUAUUGGACAAUGGGGGCAACCCUGAUCCAGCCAUGCCGCGUGUGUGAAGAAGGCCUUUUGGUUGUAAAGCACUUUAAGCAGUGAAGAAGACCUAACGGUUAAUACCCGUUAGCGAUGACAUUAGCUGCAGAAUAAGCACCGGCUAACUCUGUGCCAGCAGCCGCGGUAAUACAGAGGGUGCAAGCGUUAAUCGGAAUUACUGGGCGUAAAGCGAGCGUAGGUGGCUUGAUAAGUCAGAUGUGAAAUCCCCGGGCUUAACCUGGGAACUGCAUCUGAUACUGUUGGGCUAGAGUAGGUGAGAGGGAGGUAGAAUUUCAGGUGUAGCGGUGAAAUGCGUAGAGAUCUGAAGGAAUACCGAUGGCGAAGGCAGCCUCCUGGCAUCAUACUGACACUGAGGUUCGAAAGCGUGGGUAGCAAAC